CGGGAUACGUAGGCGCGAGCGUUGUCCGGAAUUAUUGGGCGUAAAGAGCUCGUAGGCGGUUUGUCACGUCUGCCGUGAAAAUCCGAGGCUCAACCUCGGACCUGCGGUGGGUACGGGCAGGCUAGAGUGCGAUAGGGGAGAGCGGAAUUCCUGGUGUAGCGGUGAAAUGCGCAGAUAUCAGGAGGAACACCGAUGGCGAAGGCAGCUCUCUGGGUCGCUACUGACGCUGAGGAGCGAAAGCGUGGGGAGCGAACAGGAUUAGAUACCCUGGUAGUCCACGCCGUAAACGUUGGGCGCUAGACGUGGGGGUGGUUCCACCGCUUCCGUGUCGCAGCUAACGCAUUAAGCGCCCCGCCUGGGGAGUACGGCCGCAAGGCUAAAACUCAAAGGAAUUGACGGGGGCCCGCACAAGCGGCGGAGCAUGCGGAUUAAUUCAAUGCAACGCGAAGAACCUUACCAAGGCUUGAUAUAUACCGGAAAGGCGUAGAGAUACGCCCCCCGCAAGGUCGGUAUACAGGUGGUGCACGGUUGUCGUCAGCUCGUGUCGUGAGAUGUUGGGUUAAGUCCCGCAACGAGCGCAACCCUCGUCCUGUGUUGCCAGCGCGUAAUGGCGGGGACUCACAGGAGACUGCCGGGGUCAACUCGGAGGAAGGUGGGGAUGACGUCAAAUCAUCAUGCCCUUCGGUCUUGGGCUUCACGCGUGCUACAAUGGCUGGUACAGAGGGUUGCAAUAUCGCAAGGUGGAGCGAAUCUCAAAAAGCCAGUCUCAGUUCGGAUUGGGGUCUGCAACUCGACCCCAUGAAGUCGGAGUCGCUAGUAAUCGCAGAUCAGCAAUGCUGCGGUGAAUACGUUCCCGGGCCUUGUACACACCGCCCGUCAAGUCAUGAAAGCUGGUAACACCCGAAGCCGGUGACUUAACCUUUUUGGAGAGAGCCGUCGAAGUGGGGAUUGGGUGAUUGGGACAAGUCUACAG
rnacentral:rRNA from 1 species